rnacentral:rRNA from 1 species
AGUGAACGCUGGCGGUAGGCCUAACACAUGCAAGUCGAACGGCAGCACAGUAAGAGCUUGCUCUUACGGGUGGCGAGUGGCGGACGGGUGAGGAAUACAUCGGAAUCUACUUUUUCGUGGGGGAUAACGUAGGGAAACUUACGCUAAUACCGCAUACGACCUACGGGUGAAAGCAGGGGAUCUUCGGACCUUGCGCGAUUGAAUGAGCCGAUGUCGGAUUAGCUAGUUGGCGGGGUAAAGGCCCACGAAGGCGACGAUCCGUAGCUGGUCUGAGAGGAUGAUCAGCCACACUGGAACUGAGACACGGUCCAGACUCCUACGGGAGGCAGCAGUGGGGAAUAUUGGACAAUGGGCGCAAGCCUGAUCCAGCCAUACCGCGUGGGUGAAGAAGGCCUUCGGGUUGUAAAGCCCUUUUGUUGGGAAAGAAAAGCAGCAGGUUAAUACCCCGCUGUUCUGACGGUACCCAAAGAAUAAGCACCGGCUAACUUCGUG